GACGAGCCUCACGAACGUUAUUCGGAAUUACUGGGCUUAAAGGGCGCGUAGGCGGCCAUCUAAGUCAGACGUGAAAUCCCCCGGCUUAACCUGGGAACUGCGUCUGAUACUGGAAGGCUUGAGUAUGGGAGAGGGAUGUAGAAUUCCAGGUGUAGCGGUGAAAUGCGUAGAUAUCUGGAGGAAUACCGGUGGCGAAGGCGGCAUCCUGGACCAUUACUGACGCUGAGGCGCGAAAGCUAGGGGAGCAAACGGG
rnacentral:rRNA from 1 species